GACAAAUCAGCAGCUGCACCUGCCUCUGUUUGUCUUUGACAAAGCUCCCAGAUCUCACUCCACCUAAGACCUUCCCUCUCUCUAGGAGCUGGACUCCCUCUCCCCUCUCUCACUGACCCUCCCUCCUUGGCUCAAAGCACAGGUCAGCAUUCACUAUAAGUGAGAGAGAGAGAGCGAGAGAGAGAGAUGCCUACCAUUCCAGGGAGAAAGACGAAUUACAACAAGUCUCAAGAGAACAAGAGCUUGCAUGAUCAUAACACUGAUCCAUGCCAAGCAAAACAACAAAAGAACACAACCAUCACUGGAAAAAAACCUCGACUUAAAACCACUGAACUCAAACCACAUUGUUUGUCCUGAAAACGAUGUGUCUGACACACUGCUGUCAGUGUUUUUUUUUCUUCUUCCCAGAGCUGACAACGACAACAAGAGAACAGAGGACAGUGAUGUACACAAACUGACAUUUUUCGUCUGAAUAUAAAAGACAAAAGGAAAAAAAACAGAGAAAUUACUUUUUGCAGGAGCAGCGUAAAAGUCCACCAGAGCUGCUCCAUCACUUCAUCUGCAUGUAAUUAACUUGUAAUAACAGUAGAGUUUUUCUAUGUCGGAUGUCAGUCUUUAGAAAAUAUUACAGUCCAAUUGUAACAAAUGGCACAAACACAUUUAUUGAACAACAAUUAUGGUUCAUCUCUCCAAUCUGCAGUAAGUGGCUGCACUGAAAUGGACUCCGGCCGUCACUUUUUAUUCAAAAUUCAAUAUUAUUUCCAACAUAGGAUGUAAAGCUGUAAUGACCUGCUUGAAAAGCAUGCGCCUAUUGAUGUAGUACCAAGCCAAAAACAUAUCUAAAUAACUGAUAUUUUCACAAAGUAAUUCUUAUUUCAACAUAGUUGCAAAACUAAUAGUAGGAUUCUAUGUAGUUAGUUUGUACAAGAAUGGUUUAACAACAGAAUCCAACGUACUCAUAUGUAAGGAUCCAUUAUGUAAGCAAACUACUCAACCAAUGUCAGCUCAGUAUAAUUAUACACAUUUUAUUUAAAAAUUCAUGUUGUUCCAGUUCUGCUCGUCAGGUCAAAGUAAAAAUAAGGCAAUCCGCCACCAUUUAACAACAUUACAUUACAUUACACAUGUAAACCUUAUACUUUGUCAGACUGGUCUUCAUAUGAUGCAAAUAUCUGCUGUAUCACUAACAAUGUUAGCAUGCUAUCCUUCAACAUUCUUCCCAGGUUCUACCCAACAAACUCUGAAAAAAAGGACAUGAUUGUGUUUUUGUGUUAAAAAGAGGGGUAAAAUAAAUGUGGUCAAGAUUCUUCUUCUUGCAAAUGCUUUAUCCACAAAUGUAGAUUCUUCAGAAAUGUAAAUAAUAAGUCCUGAUCAAUAUUCAAUGACAAAAAGUAUAACUUAAUUUAAUAGGCCUGGAGCCCUGUUUUUGGAAAAAGUGACAGGCAUAAAGUGCACAUGUGCAUGUAU